UUCUAGGCAGCUGGCAUCAGGGAAUCAGUCAAUCCACGAAAUAUCGGAAAAAUACAGGAACUGACAAUACGAGCGAGAAACGUGACCGAAAUGAAGAGUUGUUUACUACACGUAARCCUCCCUCAAAAACAAGGUGUCGGUUCUAUCCUUCCAACAAGGACCUGGCCAACUAUAUGCAAAGAGCAUAGCACCGCCAGUGUCAUUCAAAGAUAGACCAGGAAAACCUUCAAAUACUUCUUCUGUUUUGUUACCAAACUUUAUGGCUUGCAGCCAGGUUCCAACCCACCAUUAUUGGUUCUAGGAUCAAGCACCCACAUCAGAGUUGAUGAAGAAACUGCUGUUCUAAUAAUUUCAUCAGACAGCACCUACUCUGUGCUUGAUAGCCAACUCAACUUACACAAUGUCUUUGAAGUUACUUUCACAGAGGUGUGUAUCAAAAUAUAGAAUGUAAUCUAAUGAAGUGCGUGUGAGUCRGUGUCAGCCCACAGUAGUAGAGGCUGUACUACGAGCCUUUGAAGGACAGGUGAAUAAGCUGAAAGAGCAGCUGACAGGCAAAGGAAGAGUUCAAUACAAUCACCAAUUGAGUCCAUGGCAAUUCAGUGAUAUAUAAGCACUGCUGACUGGUUGAAUUAGUCUUUUAUAGAUCUUGACACAGGAGAUGGUCUUCAUAACCAUAUUGCUCGUUUAUUUCCUCUGAUGCAAAGAAAAGUACAUAACAAUAGUAUAUCUCAAAAGGCACAAGAUGCAUGGAAAAUGGUGACGUAUAUACUAGACGAAAUUAGGAAAGAUACCAUUGACAAUAGUAUAAUAACCCGACCCCCGAGUUUAAUAGUGUCUACUUUCAAGCUGUGUUUGAAAAGUAAUAACCGAAGUUAAACAAAGAUGAUGACCCCUAUUUCACUUGGAUUGCAAAAUACCGCAAACAAAAAGAAAUCUUCCAGAGAAAAAACAAGUUUUUGAGCAUUGAGGUUCCAACUAAGGAAGAACACCAAAUGUACUGAACACUUAAUGACAAGCGGUUUCUCCUGGUGUCCAGAUAUGUUAAUAUUGUGCAUAAAAUGAUAAAACCUGAGGACAUCGAGGGAAAUUGCAUGCAAUGCCACAGUUUUAAAGGUGUCCUGCAUGUAGGAGAGAAUCUGAAAAAUGGCCACUAAAAAGCGAUAAUUUCCACAACAGGAAAUUUCAAACAACCUUCUGCAGAUGACGACGUUGAGCCAUGAAAUCCCCAGUAACAACAUUGCUUUUUCAUCAGAGGAAGACUGAGCUAUCUCCUUUACACCUCUCGUGUUGCUGAUGUUCUUCAUAAACACA